rnacentral:lncRNA from 1 species
UCCCCUUGUUUUCUGACUGCUGCCAGCACUUAUUCAUCCUAGCUCAGUCCUGCUGAAUUUCAAAGGACAUUUGAAUCACAACAUCGCCAUCUGGCUCUUUGGCAGGAGAGGGAAGGGUUCAGCAGAGUCCAGUCAGCUGCCGAGCUUUGUUGUUCUAGUCAGGUGAUAAAAAAAGAGCUUCCUAGAGUUUUCUAUGAACAGGAUUCUCUUCAGGGCCCACAACUGCUAGAAGCAAAAUUGCCUUCUUCACCAUGGGACACAUGGAGUUUUGAUGUUUCUUCAGCCUUUAUUGAGGAGAGCCAUUGAUUCUGUGGGUCUCGUUAAGUUGGAAGAGCACUGAGGCCCAAAACUGCUGGUAAGGGAAGAUGAAAUUAGGUUAGCAGGGCAUACAAGGAGAUAUAUUUAAUUAUUUGGGAAAGCUGAGCAUCUGGAAUAAGAUGGCUUAU